rnacentral:lncRNA from 1 species
UGUUAAAAUGUUUGCUUGUUUUCUAUAGGUGUGCAUCAUUUCACAGUUAUUGGCAAUGGUUCAAUGGUUUCAUCUGCUUUGAACAGUUUCUUCUCCAUCAUUAAGAGGACGCUUAGGUUCCAUGUGGACAACCUGGCUUACAGUAGGUGUGAUGUGGCUGUGACAUCAGGAGUGGAAUAUCUUUGCUGGGAUAAAUGAGUAAGACAGAGUACAAAAAGGCUACUGAAGAUCAGCCUGGAGUCAAUAAACAGUUGUGUAACAGAGAAGGGAAGAGGACAAGGUAAGGGACUGCUCUGUGGACCCACCCUCUUUUUCAAUCUUACUACGGCAGUUAAGCUUCUGAGGAACACAAAUCAGGCAAGUGAAAAAACUUACAACUGGGUUGAAAACAGUAGGGAGAAGCUUCAGGAAAGAGUAGAUACAGCAGGGCUG